CACAGAGCAGCGGAAAAACUCCAUUCAACAGACAAGGCGGUGGAUGGACAGCGGCCCUCUGAUGAUA
rnacentral:SRP_RNA from 14 species